AUUGAACGCUAGCGGGAUGCCUUACACAUGCAAGUCGAACGGCAGCACGGACUUCGGUCUGGUGGCGAGUGGCGAACGGGUGAGUAAAGUAUCGGAACGUGCCUAGUAGCGGGGGAUAACUACUCGAAAGGGUAGCUAAUACCGCAUACGCCCUACGGGGGAAAGGGGGGGAUCGCAAGACCUCUCACUAUUAGAGCGGCCGAUAUCGGAUUAGCUAGUUGGUGAGGUAAAGGCUCACCAAGGCGACGAUCCGUAGCUGGUUUGAGAGGACGACCAGCCACGCUGGGACUGAGACACGGCCCAGACUCCUACGGGAGGCAGCAGUGGAGAAUUUUGGACAAUGGGGGCAACCCUGAUCCAGCCAUUCCGCGUGUGCGAUGAAGGCCUUCGGGUUGUAAAGCACUUUUGGCAGGAAAGAAAUCGCACGGGAUAACACCCCGUAUGGAUGACGGUACCUGCAGAAUAAGCACCGGCUAACUACGUGCCAGCCGCCGCCGUAAGAC
rnacentral:rRNA from 1 species